GACGUAGGGCGCGAGCGUUGUCCGGAUUUAUUGGGCGUAAAGAGCUCGUAGGCGGUUUGUCACGUCUGCUGUGAAAGCUGGAGGCUCAACCUCCAGCCUGCAGUGGGUACGGGCAAACUAGAGUGCGGUAGGGGAGAUUGGAAUUCCUGGUGUAGCGGUGGAAUGCGCAGAUAUCAGGAGGGAACACCGAUGGCGAAGGCAGAUCUCUGGGCCGUAACUGACGCUGAGGAGCGAAAGCAUGGGGAGCGAACAGG
rnacentral:rRNA from 1 species